rnacentral:tRNA from 1 species
UAGAAGAUGGUGUAAUGGAAGCACUAAGAGUUUUGAUCUCUUUAGUUUGGGUUCGACUCCCUUUUUUCUAA